AUCGUCAAAAUCCUUAUACACAAGGCACUUGAUAGUGCCUGUGUGCUUAAAACAACUAAGUGAGUUACUGUCUCCGUAGGUAGGUGAUGUCACAUACCUCUACCUGUUCCGCAUAUAGUCGAACAAAUGGGGUGCAGCGGUGGGGAAGGUAGUUUAAUCUUGAGCUUAUGAUAACUGGAAGGACUCUGCAAAACUGGCGUUAGCAAUCUUUGUAUUCCUUGAAAUUUUGCGGCAGUUUGAAACAGCGAGGGAGGAGGAUAAAAUUCAACAAAUAAACAGAAAAAAAAACAGCAAAAGCUUUGGACACACAAGAGACUGCUGAUGCUGGUAUCUGGAUCAACAAACACUCUUCUGGAGGAACUGACAUCCAUCAUUAAACACCGUCACCACCCAGGACAUUCCCUCUUCUCAUUACUACCAUCAGGGAGGAUGUAGAGCAGCCUGAAGGCCUACACUCAACAUUUGAAGAACCGCUUUCAAAUCUCCACCAUCAGAUUUCUGAACAGCUCAUGAAAACCACCUCAAUAUAUUUCUCUCUGUUUUGACUUUUUAUUUAUUUUAUUUCUUACUGUAAUUUACAGUAAUUAUUAUGUCUUGUGCAGUAUUGCUGCCUUGGGGUUAGUGGAUGGCAUAUGUACAUGAGUAGAAGGAAGGAAUGGGGCUUGUUUUUCUGUUGUCAUUUUGUUGUGUUGUUUUGCCGAGCAUCAUGAGCGCACUGUGCAGAUGGCAGAAUGUGUGAUAACAUUUCAUGGUACGUUUUGAUGUAUAGUACAUUGAUAAAUAAGCAACAGACACAGAAUGCCAGUGGACGAACUCAGCAGGCCAGGCAGCAUCCACGGAAAAAAGUAAACAGUCGACAUUCCAGGCCGAGAGCCUUCAUCAGGACUGGAGAAAAAAGGUGAGG